rnacentral:rRNA from 1 species
AGUGAACGCUGGCGGUAGGCCUAACACAUGCAAGUCGAACGGCAGCACAGUAAGAGCUUGCUCUUACGGGUGGCGAGUGGCGGACGGGUGAGGAAUACAUCGGAAUCUACUUUUUCGUGGGGGAUAACGUAGGGAAACUUACGCUAAUACCGCAUACGACCUACGGGUGAAAGCAGGGGAUCUUCGGACCUUGCGCGAUUGAAUGAGCCGAUGUCGGAUUAGCUAGUUGGCGGGGUAAAGGCCCACCAAGGCGACGAUCCGUAGCUGGUCUGAGAGGAUGAUCGGCCACACUGGAACUGAGACACGGUCCAGACUCCUACGGGAGGCAGCAGUGGGGAAUAUUGGACAAAGGGCGCAAGCCUGAUCCAGCCAUACCGCGUGGGUGAAGAAGGCCUUCGGGUUGUAAAGCCCUUUUGUUGGGAAGGAAAAGCAGCAGGUUAAUACCCCGCUGUUCUGACGGUACCCAAAGAAUAAGCACCGGCUAACUUCGUG